GACGAGAAGAAAACGAUGGAUGAAUGGAGUUGUUGGGGGUUUAUAAGUUCAUCUUAUUCGCUCUCUCUUAUUUACUCCUCUUGAUUUAUUUGCUUGAUUAACUAAUUGUUAUGCAACUUUCUUGGCCUACCCUUAACUCGAUCCCUCGGCGAAAAGAGCCUAUUACUAAUUACUGGCUUGCUAUCCCUAGCCUCCCCUAGCAAUUAAUAAUGCAUUAUAGAGCAGAAGCGAAAACAAUUGAUCGUCCUACCCCUAUCCCUAGGUGGUAUUGCUUAAUCAAGGAAUUACUCACCAGUUCAUGACAUUANUNUACGUCCCCGUAUCAAUAAAGACAAACAACAGUUAUCGAAUGAGUUAAAUGAUAAAAGCAUUAAGCACAGAUGAGAACCCAACAAUUAAUAAUCAAAGCAUAUGGAAACCAUAUAAAUAAACCAGAGUUUCAAUAAAAGAGAGUAUCAAAAGAUUACAUUGUUUCCCCCAACAACAAUAGGGUUUAGUUCACCAUUGUCAUAGUGAAUCUAGAUGAAAAAUGGAUGAAGAAUGGAAAAGCAAACCCUAGAUAAGAAGAAAUGGAGCCUAAGCAUCCAAGAGAUCCUCUCCAGAGAGUGAAAUUAGGUCUGGCAGCC
rnacentral:lncRNA from 1 species